AUGGAUUACAACUUUAAAGCCAUCUUCUGGAACGUUCCUGGUCUCAACUCCGGUGCCAAAUGAACGGAUGUUCGCAGCGUGAUCGCCGCUGCCACCUCGUCCAUCGUCUGUCUGCGAGAAACUAAACUAGCGCUUGUCACCGACUCCAUCGUGCUUGAUACGCUUGGUCCACUCUUCGAGGAUUACUUCUUCCUCCCCGCUACCGGCACCCGUGGGGGCAUCUUGCUCGCCUGGCGAUGA
rnacentral:rRNA from 1 species